rnacentral:rRNA from 1 species
CUACGGGCUGCACCAGUGGGGAAUAUUGCACAAUGGAGGAAACUCUGAUGCAGCAACGCCGCGUGGAGGAUGACACUUUUCGGAGCGUAAACACCUUUUAUAUAGGAAGAAGAUGACGGUACUAUAUGAAUAAGCGCCGGCUAACUCCGUGCCAGCAGCCGCGGUAAUACGGAGGGCGCAAGCGUUACUCGGAAUCACUGGGCGUAAAGAGCGUGUAGGCGGAUUAAAAAGUCAGAAGUGAAAUCCUAUAGCUUAACUAUAGAACUGCUUCUGAAACUCUUAAUCUAGAAUAUGGGAGAGGUAGAUGGAAUUUCUGGUGUAGGGGUAAAAUCCGUAGAGAUCAGAAGGAAUACCGAUUGCGAAGGCGAUCUACUAGAACAUUAUUGACGCAGAGACGCGAAAGCGUGGGGAGCAAACAGGAUUAGAUACCCUCGUAGUC